rnacentral:rRNA from 1 species
AUUGAACGCUGGCGGCAGGCCUAACACAUGCAAGUCGAGCGGAUGAUGGGAGCUUGCUCCUGGAUUCAGCGGCGGACGGGUGAGUAAUGCCUAGGAAUCUGCCUGGUAGUGGGGGACAACGUGUCGAAAGGAACGCUAAUACCGCAUACGUCCUACGGGAGAAAGCAGGGGACCUUCGGGCCUUGCGCUAUCAGAUGAGCCUAGGUCGGAUUAGCUAGUAGGUGAGGUAAAGGCUCACCUAGGCGACGAUCCGUAACUGGUCUGAGAGGAUGAUCAGUCACACUGGAACUGAGACACGGUCCAGACUCCUUCGGGAGGCAGCAGUGGGGAAUAUUGGACAAUGGGCGAAAGCCUGAUCCAGCCAUGCCGCGUGUGUGAAGAAGGUCUUCGGAUUGUAAAGCACUUUAAGUUGGGAGGAAGGGCAGUAAGUUAAUACCUUGCUGUUUUGACGUUACCGACAGAAUAAGCACCGGCUAACUUCGUGCCAGCCGCCGCCGUAAAAC